AUCACUUGUGAUGAUCAAAACAAUACUUUCGUUAUUAUGAAACUUUAGAUGUAAAAAAACUUUGGAGACCUAAAGUGAGGAGAU